rnacentral:rRNA from 1 species
GAUGAACGCUGGCGGCGUGCCUAAUACAUGCAAGUCGAGCGAACGGACGAGAAGCUUGCUUCUCUGAUGUUAGCGGCGGACGGGUGAGUAACACGUGGAUAACCUACCUAUAAGACUGGGAUAACUUCGGGAAACCGGAGCUAAUACCGGAUAAUAUUUUGAACCGCAUGGUUCAAAAGUGAAAGACGGUCUUGCUGUCACUUCUAGAUGGAUCCGCGCUGCAUUAGCUAGUUGGUAAGGUAACGGCUUACCAAGGCAACGAUGCAUAGCCGACCUGAGAGGGUGAUCGGCCACACUGGAACUUAGACACGGUCCAGACUCCUACGGGAGGCAGCAGUAGGGAAUCUUCCGCAGUGGUCGAAAGCCUUACGGAGCAACGCCGCGUGAGUUGUGAAGGUCUUCGGAUCGUAAAACUCUGUUAUUAGGGAAGAACAUAUGUGUAAGUAACUGUGCACAGCUUGACGGUACCUAAUCAGAAAGCCACGGCUAACUACGUG